rnacentral:rRNA from 1 species
GUGCCAGCAGCCGUGGUAAUACAGAGGGUGCAAGCGUUAAUCGGAAUUACUGGGCGUAAAGCGUGCGCAGGCGGUUAUGUAAGACAGAUGUGAAAUCCCCGGGCUCAACCUGGGAACUGCAUUUGUUACUGCAUGGCUAGAGUACGGUAGAGGGGGAUGGAAUUCCGCGUGUAGCAGUGAAAUGCGUAGAUAUGCGGAGGAACACCGAUGGCGAAGGCAAGCCCCUGGACCGGUACUGACGCUCAUGCACGAAAGCGUGGGGAGCAAACAGGAUUAGAAACCCGGGUAGUCC